rnacentral:rRNA from 1 species
CUCAGAAAUUAUUAAGAGUAUUGUCUGCCCAGUGACUGAUUGGUUUAACGGCCGCGUGUUAGUGCUAAGGUAGCAUAAUAAUUUGCCUUUUUAUUGAAGGCUAGUAUGAAUGGCAUAACGAAGCUUAACUGUCUCUAACUAUAUAAAAAAAAUUAGUCAAAAAGUGAAAAAACUUUUUUAUUAUUGAAGGACGAAAAGACCCUAUAGAGCUUUAAUAUAAUUAGUAAAUUAAGUUUAAAGAGAAAACUACAUUAACCUAUAUAUUUUUAUUGGGGCAAUAGAAAAAAAAUUUAAUACGUAAUUUUGUUAUAACAAACAAAAAAAACCUCAAAGAGAAUAAAUAUAAGCUACCUUAGGGAUAACAGCGUAAUCUUACCAGAGAGACCUAAUCAAAGGAAAGGUUUACGACCUCGAUGUUGGACUAAGAAAACCUAAAGGUGUAGAAGCCUUUAAAAGUUGGCCUGUUCGGCCAUUAA